rnacentral:tRNA from 1 species
AGGAUUAUAGUUUAAAAAAAACAUUUGAUUUGCAUUCAAAAAAUAUUAAAUUAAUUUAUCUUA